UGCCGGUUGUCCCUGUGAGGGAAUUACCAUCUAAGGAAUGUCCAACCUAGCUCUCUAGUUCCCAAUCAGCUAUAUUUUAAUCCUGCUACUAUGAAAAUGUUGAGCAACUUAAAGUAUGAAAGCAAUGGGUGGUUCGUGAGGUGGUCAACCAUGUGCAGUAAGCUUUCGGAUCAAAGCGAAGCUGAGAAUAGGGUGUUCGUGGAUGGAAAAUUGAUAACCAGUAGAGGCACAUCCAUGGAGUUGUCACUUGCGAUUGUUGAGAAACUAUUUGGCUAUGAGAAGGCAUUGGAUCUUGCUGUUAAUGAGAACUUUAAAUAGACAUAUAACUAUUAUGUUGGUAUUGUACUUUUGUCAAUGGAUUAAAAUGAAUGAUUGUAUUUGAUUGAAUGAAUAAAUGAUUUAGCCAUGAAGUAUUUAUCUAUAUUAGCUUA